AUUCCAGCUCCAAUAGUGUAUAUUAAAGUUGUUGCAGUUAAAAAGCUCGUAGUUGGAUUUCUGGCGGGAGCGAUCGGUCCUUCACUCAGUGUUGGAACCUGAUUGUCUCCUGCCAUCCAUGGAGAAAACUUAUCUGGCAUUAAGUUGUCGGGUAGGCAAUCUCCAUCUUUUACUGUGAAAAAAUUAGAGUGUUCAAAGCAGGCUUAUGCCGUUGAAUAUAUUAGCAUGGAAUAAUAAGAUAGGACUUUGGUACUAUUUUGUUGGUUUGCGCACCAAAGUAAUGAUUAAUAGGGACAGUUGGGGGUAUUCGCAUUCCGUUGUCAGAGGUGAAAUUCUUGGAUUUACGGAAGACGAACUACUGCGAAAGCAUUUACCAAGGAUGUUUUCAUUG
rnacentral:rRNA from 1 species